rnacentral:ncRNA from 1 species
UACUAACCCCGGGGGUGCCCGUGAGGGCUGAGAGGUGCGAACCGUGCACUAACCCUUGGAACCUGAUCUGGGUCAUACCAGCGUAGGGAAGUGGGGUCAAAGGUUU